UUUCAUUUGGGUGAUAUUACAUUAUUACAGUACAUCAGCUAAGGAUGAAUGUUUUUUUUUCCCAGACAAUCAAGGUCAACAACAAGUGCAACAAACUCAACAACAGCCGCAACAUCAACAGCAGCAACCACAACAACAAAACAUCAUCUCCGGUAUAGAAGCCCAAAAAUCCCAACUAGAACAGAUCACUGUUUCUGGUGUGAACACCAUGUACUCACAGCCUUUCCGACAACCUUUACCUCCGGGUACUGUUAUCAAUCGACCUGUUAUGCAGCAGCAGCGGUUAUUGACACCACAGCAACAGCAGUUACUCAUGCAAAGAUCUCCGCUCUUGCAGCAGCAGCGAAUACUGGAUCCACGUCUCCAGCGAACCAUAGGAUUCCCUGCGCAGCAACAGCAGACCAUAAACAUCAAUCAGCUGGCUAAUGCAGCAAGGCUAAAUAAUCCGCAAAACGUUCUUCGCGCUCCUGUUGAUUCUUAUCCGGUCAAUCAGUUGAAUCAGCAUCAACAAGCUGUGCAAUUUAAUGACCCCAACAAUCCUAACCUUAUGAUUCGCAAACCUGGAGAAAAUGCAGCAGAUAGGAAUUUAGUGUCUCAGAGCGGACCUAACAAUCAAAUCCUCAGCCAUCCGUCUAGUAAUCAAUCCCAUGAAACAAGUGAAAUUCCGGACAGCGUGACUGCAGAACUGGAAAAGGAGCGGGAAGAAGGUGUUGGACAAAGUAGUACCGUGACAGGUAUGACAGAGGCAGAGGCAGUCAGUGCAAUCUUAAAUGAUCUCGUAGAGGAUGAUGACGAGCUCCUUGCGGAGAUGGGUGGAGAUGACUUCAACAUCCUCGAAUAUGCGGAUCCUGAGCUUGACAGUUUAACUGGGUGCGAGAAAGCAAACAUCUUAGAUGAAAUUGAAGCUGAUGAACAACAUAAAACAGAUAAAAGGAACUCAGCAAGGUAAUUUUCUACUUUUUCAUGUCUAUUAUCUCCCAAAAGAAAAAAGUAUGUAAAAGUA
rnacentral:lncRNA from 1 species